AAAGGUUGCAAGAUGCAACGAAAAUUUUAGAAAAAUAAAAAAGAAGUGGAAAAUUUACCAUGGAACACACAAAAGUGAAAAAUAAAAUUUAUAUGGAAGCUUUCAUCUUGUCAACAAAAAGUAUGUCUCAGAAGAAGAAAGAAGACAAUCAAACAUUUCAAUCAUAAGUUUGUUUAUCAUGGUAUCAAAUUUGAAAAUAAACACAAUAUAUCUUAUAAUCUGAUAGAUAGAAAAUGUUUAUUUUUAUUUUUCUACUUAUUAUUUAAUAUCAGAUGAUAUUGCAAACUAGAGCUCAACAUCCCAAGAUAUUUACAACUGUGGUAGCAUUUCUUUAGAUAAAUUAUUGUUUUUUAUACCUGUUGUACUGAGUUCAUCCUACUAUGUUCUACACCAGCAGCUCCCAGGGCCUCAUGCCACCUUCAAGCAUCCUUCCAGUGGCCCUUCACAGUCUUCCCUUUAUAAAUAUAAAUUUUUCUCUAA